rnacentral:rRNA from 1 species
AUGACAAAGUCAGGGACUUUCACGGUGCGAUCUGCAUACCAUACAGAAUGGGAAUUUCAAUUUGGGCACAAGUUGAAAUCAACGGCUGGAGCUUCAAACCCAUCUUAUACAUGGGACUCGGUAUGGAACUUAGUCUGCCCAGCAAAGAUAAAAAUAUUUAUGUGGCGCGCGCUCCAGAAUGCUAUUCCCUAUCGAUCUAUCCUGGCUAAUAAGCACUUGAAAAUAAAUCUGAGUUGCCCAGCCUGUAACCAGGGGCCUGAUGACAUAAGACAUAUGUUGUUCGAAUGCAAAUUGGCAACGGACGUGUGGAAGAUGCUCGGUCUUGAGCUUGUUAUCAAAGAGGCACUAAAAGUUGACAAGGCAGGUGAGCUUGUGUUGGCACAUCUUCUGUGCCUUCCAGAACAACAAAUCCAAGUGUUGGGCUUGCCGAAGUUCAGAGAAACGAUGGCAACAACGGCUUGGUAUUUGUGGUAUGAAAGGAGAAAAUUGACACAUGAUGAAGAAACUUAA